ACAACAACAAGCACGGAGGGUUACUAUAACUGCGCAAGCAGCACCCUUGGAGGAAACAAAGAUGGUUUGGGGGUGGAGAAAGUGGGUUUCCUGUCACUGCACCCCUUUCCCCUGUUGCUGUACUACCUGUAGGGCACUGCCACUGGGAAUGUCAACAACAGGACAGCUCUGCUUGGCCGGAUCUCAGCUGGCAUGACUGGGAACGCUUCACUCUGCCUGAAAAUUUGAAGAACCACCGUGACAAAUCCAACAAACCAUUUCAACACACAAGAACUAUGUCUGCAAAGCCGUCAUGUCUUCUGUGCCUGCGAAAGGCCUUCUUUGAGAGACACAACAGCAGAGAGGGUGGGGGAACCCAACGGUUUGUUUUUCUGGUUCUGGAAGACAAAAUAUUCUGUAUGUUGUUCUACAGUGUGCAUUAGCCUGCUGAAAAGUAAGAUGAAAUAUUUGUUUUAUGAGAAUGAGGAAGAGGAAUCCUUCCCUCCACCCUUUACCAAUCUUCUCAUCAGCAUGCUGAUCUCUUGGCCUAAUUCCUGGCUCUUCUGCUGUUGAAUCUACUGGUAUAUGGAGAGCAAAGGUUGGCAAAGUGGGGUUGGGGAGAUAGAAAGGGGUAGAUUUUGUGUGUUUUUCCUGAAUUAUUUUGAUGUGAAAAGUGAUCACAGGUAGUGAGU